rnacentral:rRNA from 1 species
CCUAUGGGUGGCAGCAGUGAGGAAUAUUGGUCAAUGGUCGGGAGACUGAACCAGCCAAGCCGCGUGCGGGAUGAAGGUACAGAGUAUCGUAAACCUCUUUUGUCAGGGAACACAGGCGGGGACGUGUCCCCCGAUGCGUGUACCUGAAGAAAAAGCAUCGGCUAACUCCGUGCCAGCAGCCGCGGUAAUACGGAGGCUGCGGGCGUUAUCCGGAAUUAUUGGGCGUAAGGAGUACGUAGGUGGCAAGCUAAGCGCAGGGUUUAAGGCAAUGGCUCAACCCUUGUUCGCCCUGCGAACUGGGAUGAUUGAGUGCAGGAGAGGAAAGCGGAAUUCCUAGUGUAGCGGUGAAAUGCGUAGAUAUUAGGAGGAACACCAGUGGCGAAGGCGGCUUUCUGGAGUGGAACUGACACUGAGGUACGAAAGCGUGGGGAGCAAACAGGAUUAGAUACCCCAGUAGUC